rnacentral:tRNA from 1 species
GGUACCGUAGCCAAGUGGCCUAAGGCGACGGAUUGCAAAUCCGUUAUUUCCCCGGUUCGAAUCCGGGCGGUACCU